AAUAAAUGAAAAAAAAUUACAAAGUUUUUCACCAUAAGGCAUUCCAACCGCCAUUGUUUCAUCUUCUCCUCAUUAUAGAUUCCUUUUGAAAAAAUUACAUUUAAGUCAUAUGUUUAUUUCUAGCUCACAAGAAUUCUAUAAAUUAAAAAAAAUCUUACGUGGAGAUGAUAGUCCACGGUCUAUUUCCUAAGAACCACAACCUUGACAAAAAUAACAAUUAUAUAACAAAUAUAUAAUAUCGC
rnacentral:lncRNA from 1 species